GACGAACGCUGGCGGCGUGCUUAACACAUGCGAGUCGAGCGGAAAGGCCCUGCUUUUGUGGGGUGCUCGAGUGGCGAGCGGGUGAGUAACACGUGAGUAACCUGCCCUUGACUUUGGGAUAACUUCAGGAAACUGGGGCUAAUACCGGAUAGGAGCUCCUGCUGCAUGGUGGGGGUUGGAAAGUUUCGGCGGUUGGGGAUGGACUCGCGGCUUAUCAGCUUGUUGGUGGGGUAGUGGCUUACCAAGGCUUUGACGGGUAGCCGGCCUGAGAGGGUGACCGGCCACAUUGGGACUGAGAUACGGCCCAGACUCCUACGGGAGGCAGCAGUGGGGAAUAUUGCACAAUGGGCGGAAGCCUGAUGCAGCAACGCCGCGUGCGGGAUGACGGCCUUCGGGUUGUAAACCGCUUUCGCCUGUGACGAAGCGUGAGUGACGGUAAUGGGUAAAGAAGCACCGGCUAACUACGUG
rnacentral:rRNA from 1 species